CUGCACAUUUGAUGGCUGUCACGCCUGUGAUUUGAUAGUUGAUCUACGGAUCUUGAAUUCUUCAUAAGGGAGCGGCUCCCAGGCAGGCUCUAACUGAUGAGGGUUUCAAUGUGUAGCCUUGUCUGUCCUGUCUCUGUAGACCAGGCUCACCUCCAAGUCAUAGAGAUCCUCCUGACUCUGGAAUUAAAGCGUGAAUGCCAGCAGAGAGAAUGGACUGAAUCACCAUCAUGUCCUUCAGCACUACCUGCUCCAAAGUUGGAUGGCUGUGAGCAAAACAACCUGAACACCAUGUAAAACCAUAAGCUAGGAUGCUGGAAAAGAUGGAG
rnacentral:lncRNA from 1 species